AGUGAACGCUGGCGGUAGGCCUAACACAUGCAAGUCGAACGGCAGCACAGUAAGCGCUUGCUCUUACGGGUGGCGAGUGGCGGACGGGUGAGGAAUACAUCGGAAUCUACUUUUUCGUGGGGGAUAACGUAGGGAAACUUACGCUAAUACCGCAUACGACCUACGGGUGAAAGCAGGGGAUCUUCGGACCUUGCGCGAUUGAAUGAGCCGAUGUCGGAUUAGCUAGUUGGCGGGGUAAAGGCCCACCAAGGCGACGCUCCGUAGCUGGUCUGAGAGGAUGAUCAGCCGCACUGGAACGGAGACACGGUCCAGACUCCUACGGGAGGCAGCAGUGGGGAAGAUUGGACAAUGGGCGCAAGCCUGAUCAAGCCAUACCGCGUGGGGGAAGAAGGCCUUCGGGUUGUAGAGCCCUUUUGUUGGGAAAGAAAAGCAGCAGGUUAAUACGCCGCUGUUCUGACGGUACCCAAAGAAUAAGCACCGGCUAACUUCGUG
rnacentral:rRNA from 1 species